CCACCCUAAAAACUUUCCCGUGGACCGUUUCAACCCAUAGUUGGGGGUCUUAUUUGGCCGGCGGCUGCUGGCUUAAUUGUUGGCGGCUGCUGCUGAGUGAGCCCUAUCAAAAAAAAAGGCGAACGUUUGGGCUUCGGCCUGAUUUAGUAGUCUUUUUUUCUUUUAAACCCAUUCCUUAAUACUGAAUAUACUGUGGGGACGAAAGUCUCUGCUUUUAACUAGAUAGCAACUUUCAGCAGUGGAUGUCUAGGCUCGCACAUCGAUGAAGAACGCUGCGAACUGCGAUACGUAAUGCGAAUUGCAGGAUUCAGUGAGUCAUCGAAAUUUUGAACGCAUAUUGCACUUCCGGGUUAGUCCUGGAAGUAUGCCUGUAUCAGUGUCCGUACAUUAAACUUGACUUUCUUCCUUCCGUGUAGUCGGUGGAGGAGAUGUCAGAUGUGAAGUGUCUUGCGAUUGGUCUUCGGACCGGCUGCGAGUCCUUUUAAAUGUACUAAACUGAACUUCUCUUUGCUCGAAAAGUGGUGGCGUUGCUGGUUGUGAAGGCUGCUAUUGUGGCAAAUUGGCGACUGGUUUGUCUGCUGCGGCGUUAAUGGAAGAGUGUUCGAUUCGUGGUAUGGUUGGCUUCGGCUGAACAAUGCACUUAUUGGACGUUUUUCCUGCUGUGGCGUGAUGGACUGGUGAACCAUAGCUCGGUGGCUUGGCUUUUGAAUUGGCUUUGCUGUUGCGAAGUAGGGUGGCAGCUUCGGUUGUCGAGGGUCGAUCCAUUUGGGAACUUAAUGUGUACUUCGGUAUGCAUCUCAA
rnacentral:rRNA from 1 species